UCCCCGGAGCAUCGUUCCCAGCGUCCUCCCCGGGAGCCGCUCGGCGGGCGCAGACGCCCCCACCGGUGCUCGCUGGGUUGGCUCCUUUCAGGGUCUCCCAGGAUCCGAUCCCUGCGAGCAUCAUCAGCCUGGCUCCUGCGGGAGGAGCCUGCGUUCUUGGGCCCCAGACUCUGAUGAAGAACAACCAUCUUUCCUCCGCUGGGAAAAUGCACGUGAACGUUUAGGUUUCCCAGUUUCACUGAGAUUAAGCUCCAGUCUCCUGCGAUGGUAGCUAACUUCAAAGUGGUCUGCUUCUGAGAUAACAUAAACCAGGCAGUCACUGAAUGCAUGAACAAUACGCCUGUAAGUUAUGGAGUUCUUGUAAGGAGACUGAACCAGUAGUUUCAGGAGAGGAUAACACAGAUGAGUCUCUGAAGAGCAGGACACCAGGCUCAGCUGAGGAGAGGCUACUAUGCUGAAAAUGGUGGAUGGGAUGGGGUGAGGAUAAAUGAAAAUUUACACACUUAA